rnacentral:rRNA from 1 species
CACGUAAGUUGCGAGCGUUGUUCGGAAUUAUUGGGCGUAAAGGGCAUGUAGGCGGUUUGGCAAGCUUGGUGUGAAAUCCCAGAGCUCAACUCUGGAACUGCAUUGAGAACUGCUAGACUAGAAUUACUAAGGGGCAACUAGAAUUCCAAGUGUAGGGGUGAAAUCUGUAGAUAUUUGGAAGAAUACCAAUGGCGAAGGCAAGUUGCUGGUAGAUAAUUGACGCUGAGGUGCGAAAGUGCGGGGAUCAAACAGGAUUAGAUACCCUGGUAGUCCGCACAGUAAACGAUGUACACUAGGUGUUUGGUCAUGAGACUGGGUGCCAAAGCAAACGUGAUAAGUGUACCGCCUGGGGAGUAUGCUCGCAAGGGUGAA